CUUAUGAUCAGGUACAAAAGCGUUCGUGUGGUUUAGUUUUAUUAUGGUUUAAUUGCGUUUUCGCGAGAUCGAGUAAUUUAUACUACUCAAUCUUGUGAAGGACUUUUGAAUAAAAUAGUUGUUAUAAAUGGCUUUUGUCAAAAGAGGAGAUGAUCCUUUGAAUGAAAAUCCACACAAGCAGCCUGGUUACUUCUCGUUUCCGUUCACGCCGUACGAUAUCCAAGUGAAGUUCAUGCAAGAUCUUUAUUCCGUUAUUGAAAAUGGUGGAGUAGGAAUAUUUGAAAGCCCGACUGGAACUGGGAAAUCGCUGAGUUUGAUUUGUGGUGCUUUGACCUGGCUAAGAGAUUUUAAUGAAAAAUCUAAAAACAUUAAAGAAACUCAUACUACUGGUGACUCAAUUGAAACAACAGGGGAGCAAGAUAGUUCAGUUCCGUCUUGGGUGCAAGAAAUUGCUUUAAAACGGGAGAGAAAUGUGCUUCUUGAGCAUUCUAAGGCUAAACAAGAAAAAGAAGAGCAGUAUAACGAAAAACUAAAACGCUUGAGAGAACAAAGAUAUAAGAAACAACACAAGAGAAAACUCGAUAGUGACGACAAUAUUAGUAGUAAAGUGCAUCGGCUCCCUCGUGAUGAAAGUGGCGAUGUAAAUGUAGGUAAAGACGAUGACGAUGAAGAUAUUCUGCUUCAAGAAUAUCUCAGUGACAAUAAUAAGGAAGGGGAUGCCAACUGUUGUAGCUCCGAGGAAGAGGAAUUUGAAGAUGCUCAUGUGACUAAGAUAUAUUAUUGCAGUCGUACUCAUUCGCAACUUGAUCAGUUUGUUAAUGAAGUUAAGAAAAGUGGUUUUGGUAGCAGUAUUCGUGUCGUCUCUCUCGGUUCGAGACUGAACUUAUGCGUGAAUCAAGAGGUCAAAAAAUUACGUAAUAUCACACGUGUCAACGAUAAAUGCCUGGAUUUACAGAAAAAAAAGAAAGGAAAAAAGAAACAGGAAUCUCAAAGAAAUAAGAAAUUCAAGUCUGCAAAUGGUUGCCCAUUUUAUGAUUAUCAACGACUCCAACACUACAAGGACUUAAUAUUGAUGGAAGUAAAGGAUGUGGAAGAAUUGAUAUCUGUGGGCGAAGAUGUCGAAGCAUGUCCAUAUUAUGGCAGCCGAUAUGCUGUACCUAAAGCGGAGCUUGUAGUAUUACCCUACAAUAUGCUUCUUCAUCAAGCGUCACGUGAAGCCUGCGGUAUUAAAUUAAAGGGGAAUGUUGUGAUUAUUGACGAAGCUCAUAAUUUGAUUGACACGAUCAGCAGCAUACACAGUGUCGAAAUUUCAGGAUUUCAGAUAUCAAGAGCACAUUCUCAGUUGCUACAAUAUCGGGAUCGAUACAAGUCAAAACUGAAAGCCAAGAAUUUGAUGUAUGUCAAGCAGAUUUUGCAAGUCUUGAGUUGCCUUCUUUCAUGUUUUGAAAAAUCGUCACAAAAGAAUGAUGAUCAAGGCUUUUGUCCCAAACAUUCAGAUGAUGUAAGGUUGCUAAAGAUCAACGAUUUUCUAUUUGCAACCAAGAUGGACAACAUCAACUUAUUCAAAGUAAAACGGUACUGUGAGCGAAGCUUGAUUUCUAAAAAGCUGAACGGCUUCGUUGAUAAAUACAGCACCGCAGUUUGUGCAGAUGGAAAACAUUGUGACAGUGAAUUUGUUCCAAUGUCAUCGCCCCUCCAGAACAUAGAAAACUUUCUGGAGUGUUUGACCAAUGCAGAUAAAGAUGGUCGAAUAGUUAUUGAUAACAAAGGUCUUUUGGGUCGUUCCACCUUGAAGUUUCUUCUUCUCAAUCCUGCCGUUUACUUCAAGAGUGUCGUUAAAGACGCCAGAGCGGUCAUAGUUGCUGGAGGAACCAUGCAACCCGUACACGAAUUCAAGCAGCAAUUACUAUAUGCCUGUUCUGUACCGAUGGAAAACAUCUUUGAAUUUACAUGUGGUCAUAUUAUUCCGAAAGAUAAUUUGCUGGCGAUCGCCCUAAAUAGAGGACCGUCAGGGUUUGAUUUGGAUUUUACGUAUCAAUCGAGGGAUUCAAAAAAUAUGAUAGUGGAAGUGAGUUGUGUGUUGACAAAUAUAUGCCGCAUAGUUCCAUCGGGAUUGGUUUGUUUCUUCCCAUCUUACGACUUUAAAGAAAAGGUUGUUAAGGAGUGGUAUCAAAGUGGAGUUUUCCAAAAGAUUGACGCCAAAAAGAAGAUAUUUUCCGAGCCAAGAAAAGCAGCAGAAGUUGAGCAAACGCUUAAUGAUUAUGGUCGAUUCAUCAAGAAAACUCAAUGCAAAGAGUCAACAUCCGCUCAUAACGGCGCCAUCUUGCUAUGUGUCGUUGGUGGGAAAAUGAGUGAGGGCAUUAACUUUUCAGAUGAUUUAGGAAGGUGCAUCGUUGUAAUUGGCUUGCCAUAUCCGAAUAUCCAUUCACCUGAACUCAAGGAGUACAUUUCCUAUCUCGAUGCAACUUUGGGCAAAAAUGCCGGACAACAACAUUGUGAAAAUGUUUGUAUGAAAGCCGUCAAUCAAUCUGUCGGGCGAGCAAUCCGUCAUAUAAAUGACUAUUCCACGAUACUUUUGCUUGAUCAGCGCUACAGCCGCCCGAGUAUUCAAUCUAAGUUACCUGAUUGGAUUCGUUCACGUUUACAAACGCACACCUCUUUUGGACCAGCCUUUGCUGCAUUGCGUAAGUUCUUCGUUCAACGUUCAACUUGAAAGUCUUUCACGUAAAGAAUGCUGUAUGCUUACGUACAUGGAGAAUCUGAAGAAACAUUGGUGUCACAGGAAACAUCAGUUUAUAAAUUCAACCGUCAUUUCAACAGGAACAUGAGAUGUUGCGGCAGGAAACUGUUUACGUCAUGCUCAGGCUGUACAUUCAGUAAAAAUACGCAAGACUGUUUACAGAACGUAUUAGUGUUGGUUGUAUUAUGUAAAUUGAAACAGAUAUUUUGUUUACGUUCUACAUAUAGUCAAAAUAGUUUCGAAAGAUUUUA